rnacentral:lncRNA from 1 species
AGAGCGAGUUGUUUCUUAGACUGCAAAAGAGCUUGAAGCUCGGACGCUGUGGGGCCUGUCUGGCCUUGGGGACACAAGACAGGACUUUUUCCCUUUUAGCUCUAGGCCCAUGUAGGACACGGCAGAGCAGAAGUUCUACUUCAGUGAGAGCAGGCCUGAGAUGAAACUGCGUUUUCAUAGGCCUUUGUAAGUCAUGCUCCCGGUAGGCUUGUAAAAGCCCUGUGCAGAGUGAGCUGUUUCUUGACUUCCCAAAGAGCUGGAAGCCGGACGCUGCGGGACCUGUCUGCCCUUGAUGACAAUAGGCAGAACUUUGUCCCUUUCAGCUCUAGGCCCAUGUAGAACACGGCAGAGCAGAAGUUCUACUUCAGCGAGAUCAGGCCUGGGAAGAAACUGCGUUUCGCAGGCCUUUGUAAACAUGUUCCUGGUAGGCUUGUAGGAGCCCUGUGCAGAGCGAGUUGUUUCUUAGCUGCCCAAGAGCUGGAAGCCGCACGCUGUGGGGCCUGUCUGCCCAUGAAGACACAACAGAGGACUUUGUCCCUUUCAGCUCUAGGCCCAUGUAGGACACGGCAGAGCAGAAGUUCUACUUCACCGAGAUCAGGCCUGGCAAGAAACUGCGUUUCAAAGGCCUUUGUAGGACAUGUUCCCAGUAGGCUGUAAAACACCAGUGCAGAGCGAGCUGUUUCUUAGCUGCCCAAAGAGCUGGAAGCCGGACGCUGUGGGGCCUGUCUGCCCUUGAGGACAAAAGGCAGAACUUUGUCCCUUUCAGCUCUAGGCCCAUGUAGGACUCGGCAGAGCAGAAGAUCUACUUCAGCGAGAUCAGCCCUGGGAAGAAACUGCGUUUCACAGGCCUUUGUAAGACAUGUUCCCGGUAGGCUUUAAGAGCCCUGUGCAGAGCGAGUUGUUUCUUAGCCUGCCAAAGAGCUGGAAGCCGGACGCUGUGGGACCAGUCUGCCCUUGAGGACACAAGACAGGACUUUGUGCCUUUCAGCUCUAGGCCCAUGCAGGACACGGCAGAGCAGAAGUUCUACUUCAGCGAGAUCAGGUCUGGGAAGAGACUGCGUUUCACAGGCCUUUGUAAGACAUGUUCCCGGGUAGGCUGUAAA